rnacentral:rRNA from 1 species
AUGGCUGAAGGUACUGCACCACCUCCAAAGAGGAAUUACGUCACUUAGGAUGAUGACAUGGACACUGCUAUGCUUGAGGUGCUUGUUCAUCAUCACAACAUGGGUGACCAUUCACAAAAUGGAUGGAAAGCACAUGCGUACACUGCAGCUAUAAAGAAUGUGAAGGAGAAGUGUAAUAAGGAUAUCAGAAAGGAAAACAUCUUGGGAAGGCUUAGGACUUUCGACAAGCAAUUUGAAGUCAUAAGCAAUAUACUUUCUCAAAGUGAUUUUGGGUGGGAUUGGGUCAACCAUAAGCUAUCCAUUGAUAGUGACGAUGUCUGGACUAAAUAUGUGGAGCAUUGGGAUUCCAUAUCUGCCAUAUAUUCGGAAGAUUGUGCCAAUGGGGAAGGUGCCAUGACGGGUGCUGAGAAUGCUGCAGACCCAGAAGAACCAAUUGAAAUCUCUCCAGAAAAUGGCACCAAGCGAGCACGAACAAGUGAGGCCAUUAUGUGCAUGAUUGGAGAAAUGAGGACUACUUUUAAAGAUGCUUUGAAGACAACCGAUCCACUUCCAUUGCGAAAGGCUACUACUCCUUCUGAAAUACUUGCUGCACUUCGGUUGAUACCAGAUUUGGCAGAAGCGGAUAUGUUGCGCUCUUAUGGGAAGUUGAUUCUUAAUGAGCGUUUGUUUGAAGCUCUAAUGGAGCUGCCAAUGCACAUGAGGAAGACUUGGCUGCUAUUGUUGCCUUGA